CAACCUCAACUCAUAUGGGACUACCCCCUGAAUUUAAGCAUAUUAAUUAGGGGAGGAAAAGAAACUAACCAGGAUUUUCUUAGUAGCGGCGAGCGAAAAGAAAUCAGUUCAGCACUAAGUCACUUUGUCUAUAUGGCAAACGUGAGAUGCAGUGUAUGGAGCGUCAAUAUUCUAGUAUGAGAAAUUAACGAUUUAAGUCCUUCUUAAAUGAGGCCAUUUACCCAUAGAGGGUGCCAGGGCCCGUAUAACGUUAAUGAUUACUAGAUGAUGUUUCCAAAGAGUCGUGUUGCUUGAUAGUGCAGCACUAAGUGGGUGGUAAACUCCAUCUAAAACUAAAUAUAACCAUGAGACCGAUAGUAAACAAGUACCGUGAGGGAAAGUUGAAAAGAACUCUGAAUAGAGAGUUAAACAGUACGUGAAACUGCUUAGAGGUUAAGCCCGAUGAACCUGAAUAUCCGUUAUGGAAAAUUCAUCAUUAAAGUUGUAAUAUUUUAACAAUAUUAUAAUAAUAGUGUGCAUUUUUUCCAUAUAAGGACAUUGUAAUCUAUUAGCAUAUAACAAAUUUAUCAUAAAAUAUGACUUAUAGUUUAUUCAAAUUAUUAUGCUUGCAUUUUAACAUAGAAUAAAUGUCAUUAAUUUGAUAAAGUGUUGAUAAAUUAAAAUUAAUACAGUGCGUUAAUUUUUCGAAAUUAUAUAAUGGCAUAAUUAUCAUGAUUUUCGUGUUUAUUAUAUGCAUUUGUAUGAUACAAUGCGAAAGAUUCAGGAUACUUCGGGACCCGUCUUGAAACACGGA
rnacentral:ncRNA from 1 species